rnacentral:rRNA from 1 species
AGUGAACGCUGGCGGCAGGCCUAAUACAUGCAAGUCGAACGGCAGCACAGCAGAGCUUGCUCUGUGGGUGGCGAGUGGCGGACGGGUGAGGAAUACGUGGGAAUCUGCCCAGUCGUGGGGGAUAACGUAGGGAAACUUACGCUAAUACCGCAUGCGCCCUUCGGGGAAAGCCGGGGGACCUUCGGGCCUGGCGCGAUUGGAUGAGCCCACGUCGGAUUAGCUAGUUGGCGGGGUAAAGGCCCACCAAGGCGACGAUCCGUAGCUGGUCUGAGAGGAUGGUCAGCCACACUGGAACUGAGACACGGUCCAGACUCCUACGGGAGGCAGCAGUAGGGAAUAUUGGACAAUGGGCGCAAGCCUGAUCCAGCCAUGCCGCGUGAGUGAAGAAGGCCCUCGGGUUGUAAAGCUCUUUUGUCCGGAAAGAAAGCGCCGGGUUAAUACCCCUGGUGUCCUGACGGUACCGGAAGAUAAGCACCGGCUAAC